rfam:Aspergillus sydowii CBS 593.65 ASPSYscaffold_1_Cont11, whole genome shotgun sequence.
GCGCUAGUGGCCAAGGGGUAAGGCGUCGCACUCGUAUUGGAUAUGCGAAGAUCGUGAGUUCGAAUCUCAUCUGGCGCA